rnacentral:RNase_P_RNA from 1 species
AGAGGAUGCCGAAUAGUUGCUGUUACUUGCUUCGGCGAGUAAUAGAGGAAAGUCCGAACAUUCAUUGUGAACCGUCGCACAUGUGCAGGUUCAUAAAAGGGUAGCAGGUAACGCCUGUCGUCCGUAAGGAUAGAGAUGAGAACAGAAACGACCCGGUUAAGUCCGGCUGAAACGGCAAAAUUCUUACCUGAAUGCAAGGCCGUGUCCCGCAAAGCUUUUUUAAAGCGAAGUGGGAAGUGCCGCUCGAGGCUACAAGCGAUUGUAGUCCCAGAUAAAUAACUAUUGAUUACAGAAUUCGGCUUAUAGGCAUCCACAACAA